CACAAGAGGGGAUGCCCAGUCAGACUUUCCACGUGGCAAUUAACUCUUUCCUCAUUCGAAAGCAAAGCUUAACAUACAUGCCAUUUAAUAGCACUCAAGGGAUCUCGACGAACAGUGGAACCAUGAAAGCAAAGCUGAAAUCUCGUGCCAAAGUGGCACACAUAUGCUUCCAAAUGUGGUUUCAUGCCCGGGCUGCUUACCGACGGAGUGCAUGGUAUAGGUAUAGUUAGGUGCUUUGACGCUCGAAAACAUUGAACUCAAGGAGCAACCCGAAUCAUGAAACCAUC
rnacentral:lncRNA from 1 species